GGACGGACGGUCAGAGGCCACCGCGGGACUACCAUAGGAAAGCAAAGCCUGCCCCCGCUAGCUAACAUAGAAAGAUAUUCCCAGAUAACAGUAGUCUGUCUCUAUGUGAAUCUCUUCCCGACCAGGCCAGGCCGAAUCGAGCCACCACGUCGGGAUGGGAAUGGCUCAGCCCACAUGCAUCAUUUGAUGAAAGCACUCCAGUCGCCUCCUCGAAGUGGCUUGUCAACCACGUUUUCCCUCCC
rnacentral:lncRNA from 1 species